AUUGAACGCUGGCGGCAGGCUUAACACAUGCAAGUCGAGCGGGGUGAUGGUGCUUGCACUAUCACUUAGCGGCGGACGGGUGAGUAAUGCUUAGGAAUCUGCCUAUUAGUGGGGGACAACAUCUCGAAAGGGAUGCUAAUACCGCAUACGUCCUACGGGAGAAAGCAGGGGAUCACUUGUGACCUUGCGCUAAUAGAUGAGCCUAAGUCGGAUUAGCUAGUUGGUGGGGUAAAGGCCUACCAAGGCGACGAUCUGUAGCGGGUCUGAGAGGAUGAUCCGCCACACUGGGGCUGAGACACGGCCCAGACUCCUACGGGAGGCAGCAGUGGGGAAUAUUGGACAAUGGGGGGAACCCUGAUCCAGCCAUGCCGCGUGUGUGAAGAAGGCCUUAUGGUUGUAAAGCACUUUAAGCGAGGAGGAGGCUCUUUUGGUUAAUACCCAAGAUGAGUGGACGUUACUCGCAGAAUAAGCACCGGCUAACUCCGUGCCAGCAGCCGCAGUAA
rnacentral:rRNA from 1 species